GCAAGUCGCACGAGAAAGUCCCCUUCGGGGGGCGAGUACAGUGGCGAACGGGUGCGUAACACGUGAGCAAUCUGCCUCGAAGCCGGGGAUAACCUUCCUAACGGGGGGCUAAUACCGGAUGUGUUUACCGGGUGGCAUCGCCUGGUGAAUAAAGAUGGCGUGCUGAGCGCUAUCACUUUGAGAUGAGCUCGCGGCCUAUUAGCUUGUUGGUGGGGUAACGGCCCACCAAGGCAACGAUGGGUAGCCGGCCUGAGAGGGUGACC
rnacentral:rRNA from 1 species